AUUGAACGCUGGCGGCAGGCCUAACACAUGCAAGUCGAGCGGAUGAAGGGAGCUUGCUCCUGGAUUCAGCGGCGGACGGGUGAGUAAUGCCUAGGAAUCUGCCUGGUAGUGGGGGAUAACGUCCGGAAACGGGCGCUAAUACCGCAUACGUCCUGAUGGAGAAAGUGGGGGAUCUUCGGACCUCACGCUAUCAGAUGAGCCUAGGUGGGAUUAGCUAGUUGGUGGGGUAAAGGCCUACCAAGGCGACGAUCCGUAACUGGUCUGAGAGGAUGAUCAGUCACACUGGAACUGAGACACGGUCCAGACUCCUACGGGAGGCAGCAGUGGGGAAUAUUGGGCAAUGGGCGAAAGCCUGGUCCAGCCAUGCCGCGUGUGUGAAGAAGGUCUUCGGAUUGUAAAGCACGUUAAGUUGGGAGGAAGGGCAGUAAGUUAAUACCUUGCUGUUUUGACGUUACCAACAGAAUAAGCACCGGCUAACUUCGUG
rnacentral:rRNA from 1 species